rnacentral:rRNA from 1 species
GACGAACGCUGGCGGCGUGCUUAACACAUGCAAGUCGAACGAUGAAGCCGGAGCUUGCUCUGGUGAAUUAGUGGCGAACGGGUGAGUAACACGUGAGUAACCUGCCCUUUACUCUGGGAUAACUGCUAGAAACGGUAGCUAAUACCGGAUACGACCCUCGGAGGCAUCUCCAGGGGGUGGAAAGAAUUUCGGUCAAGGAUGGACUCGCGGCCUAUCAGCUAGUUGGUGGGGUAACGGCUCACCAAGGCGACGACGGGUAGCCGGCCUGAGAGGGUGACCGACCACACUGGGACUGAGACACGGCCCAGACUCCUACGGGAGGCAGCAGUGGGGAAUAUUGCACAAUGGGCGCAAGCCUGAUGCAGCAACGCCGCGUGAGGGAUGACGGCCUUCGGGUUGUAAACCUCUUUUAGUAGGGAAGAAGCGAAAGUGACGGUACCUGCAGAAAAAGCACCGGCUAACUACGUGCCAGCCGCCGCAGUAA